AGCAGUAGCCACGGGAAUACGUAGGGCGCAAGCGUUGUCCGGAAUUAUUGGGCGUAAAGAGCUCGUAGGCGGUCUGUCGCGUCUGGUGUGAAAUCCCGAGGCUCAACCUCGGGCUUGCAUCGGGUACGGGCAGACUAGAGUGCGGUAGGGGAGACUGGAAUUCCUGGUGUAGCGGUGGAAUGCGCAGAUAUCAGGAGGAACACCGAUGGCGAAGGCAGGUCUCUGGGCCGCAACUGACGCUGAGGAGCGAAAGCAUGGGGAGCGAACAGGAUUAGAUACCCGAGUAGUCCCUGUCUCUUAUAC
rnacentral:rRNA from 1 species